AGCGAACGCUGGUGGCAGGCCUAACACAUGCAAGUCGAACGAACCUUUCGGGGUUAGUGGCGGACGGGUGAGUAACACGUGGGAACGUGCCUUUAGGUUCGGAAUAACUCAGGGAAACUUGUGCUAAUACCGAAUGUGCCCUUCGGGGGAAAGAUUUAUCGCCUUUAGAGCGGCCCGCGUCUGAUUAGCUAGUUGGUUGAGGUAAUGGCUCACCAAGGCGACGAUCAGUAGCUGGUCUGAGAGGAUGAUCAGCCACAUUGGGACUGAGACACGGCCCAAACUCCUACGGGAGGCAGCAGUGGGGAAUCUUGCGCAAUGGGCGAAAGCCUGACGCAGCCAUGCCGCGUGAAUGAUGAAGGUCUUAGGAUUGUAAAAUUCUUUCACCGGGGACGAUAAUGACGGUACCCGGAGAAGAAGCCCCGGCUAACUUCGUG
rnacentral:rRNA from 1 species